rnacentral:sRNA from 14 species
GGACAUCAGUUGGGUGUGCAGACAAUUUAACUAUCACCUCUAUCAUGCCUUUGACCAGAGUAUCUAUCUGGCUGAUCCAGUUUGGUACUUUAUUAUCUGUUUCCUCCAUUCUGGUAACUCCAUGUGUAUCCCAGUCAAAACAAUGCUCUUGGUAGAAAAAGACAACCUUACCCGAGAGAGGGAGACCAUAUUUAGGUCAAGGGUAUAUGAGCAGCUGCUAUAGUCCCAAGUUAGAAACCUGCAAGCAAACUUCCAAGGCUAUUAAUUAUGUUGAACUCGGUCUCACCCUGACAGCUUCAUGUUCAAGAACAGUCAUGUUCUGAAGUUAGAGCAUGCUGU